rnacentral:rRNA from 1 species
UUAAAUAAUGAUCCUUCCGCAGGUUCACCUACGGAAACCUUGUUACGACUUCUCCUUCCUUUAAAAGAUAGGAUUUACGGUUUUUCCAGAAAAAAAAAGAUAUAAUCCAAUUUUUUCUUGUCCAAACAAUUCAUCAUAUCUUUCGAUCGGUAGGAGCGACGGGCGGUGUGUACAAAGGGCAGGGACGUAGUCAGCACAAUCUGAUGAAUCAUGCUUACUAGGCAUUCCUCGUUCAAGAUUAAUAAUUGCAAUAAUCUAUCCCCAUCACGAUAUGUAUUGAUAAAGAUUACCUACACUUUUCAGUGGAGGAAAAGUACGAAAUAAACUGCAAGCAGCCAUAUCGUAAUUUUAGUAACUCGUUAUACAUAUCAGUGUAGCACGCGUGCAGCCUAGUUCAUCUAAGGACAUCACAGACCUGUUGUUGCCUUAAACUUCCUUGUGUUAGACACACAUCGUUCCUCUAAGAAGCUUUAUGUAAAAGCAAAUACAUUUCUACAUAAAAGUGAAAUGGCAUCAUAAUCCAGUUUUAUGCGGUACAGGGAAUAGAGGGUUGGAAAUAUGCAUAGGCGCCAAGUAUUAUUAGGUACAAGGUAGCAAAAUGCAUUUUUUCCGUACUCAUUAUAUGCACGGCAAAAAAACCUUUUAAAUUAUCCAAAUACAAAUUCAGCAUAGAAAUAUGUUGUAUUUGCCGCUAAUUAGCAGGUUAAGAUCUCGUUCGUUAUCGGAAUUAACCAGACAAAUCAUAUUCACGAACUAAAAACGGCCAUGCAUCACCAUCCAAGAAAUCAAGAAAGAGCUAUUAAUCUGUCAAUCCUACUCUUGUCUUAAACUAGUGAGUUUUCCCGUGUUGAGUCAAAUUAAGCCGCAAGCUCCACGCCUGGUGGUGCCCUUCCGUCAAUUCUUUUAACUUUCUCGCUUGCGCGAAUACUCGCCCCAGAACCCAAAGACUUUGAUUUCUCAUAAGGUACUGAAGGAAGAAAUCUAAGAACUAUCCCCGAAGAGACUAUCCUUAUUUGUUUUACUUUCAUCCAAAACCUAGUCGGUAUAGUUUAUGGUUAAGAUUACGACGGUAUCUGAUCGUCUUCACUCCCUUAACUUUCGUUCUUGAUUAAUGGAAGUAUUUUAGACAAAUGCCUUCGCAGUUGUUUGUCUCCAGAAAAUCUUAGAAUUUCACCUCUGACAUCUGAAUACAAAUGUCCCCAAACUACUCCUAUUAAUCGUAACUAAGCCAAAAAUAAAAAAAAAGAAACAUAGUUUUGACCUGUUCAAUUUUGUUAUUCCAUGCUGUAGUAUUCAAACGCACAAAUGC